rnacentral:tRNA from 1 species
UUUGUGAUUUAGCGUUGAUUUUGGCUUUGUAUAAAUAAAUUGUAGUAAAUUAUCGAAUAUUU